rnacentral:tRNA from 1 species
GUUACUAUAGUAUAAAAUGCCCGUACAAUAGGUUUUCAUCCUAUAAGUGUAAUAUUAAAUUACUAGUAAUG